UACAGAGGUCUCAAGCGUUGUUCGGAUUCAUUGGGCGUAAAGAGCUCGUAGGCGGCUUGUCGCGUCGACCGUGAAAACUUGGGGCUCAACCCCAAGCCUGCGGUCGAUACGGGCAGGCUCGAGUUCGGUAGGGGAGACUGGAAUUCCUGGUGUAGCGGUAAAAUGCGCAGAUAUCAGGAGGAACACCGAUGGCGAAGGCAGGUCUCUGGGCCGAUACUGACGCUGAGGAGCGAAAGCGUGGGGAGCGAACAGG
rnacentral:rRNA from 1 species